rnacentral:lncRNA from 1 species
UAAGCAACUUAGCAAGACUCUAUCUCAAUUAAAAAAAAUUAAAAAGGGCUGGGGAUGUAGCUUGAUGGCUUAAGUGCAACUAGAUCCCAAUACUUGGUACAAAAAAAAAAAGAUAUGAGAUAUUCCCCCCAAACUCAUGUGUGAGACACGUGCAAGAAUUUUCAAAGGUGAAGCAGUUAGGUUGGGUAAUCUUAGCCUAAUCAGUGGAUUCAUACACUCAUAUGGAUUGAUUGGGUAGUAACUAACGGUGGCAGGUAGGCUGUGCUGGAGUGAGUAGGUCACUGGGGGCUUUCUUUUGGGGUUUAUAUUUUGUCCCUGGUGAGCAGAGCCCACUCUCUGCUUCCUGUUGCCACUGUCUGAGCUUCUCUCCUCCAGGCCCUUCCGACACGAUGUUCUCCUCACAGCAGGCUGGGAGCUACGGAGUCAGCCAUCUGUGGACUGAGAUCUCUGAAACUGUGAGCCAAAAUAACCUUUUGGCUCAUUGUUGUUCUUGUCAGGUGUUUUGGUCGGAGCAACCCAAAGCUGAGUAAAACAAAUGGUAACACCUCUUACCUCCUGAAUGACAACAACUUGCUAUGCAUGUUACUGGUGAGUUUCAGGUUUAUUGUAUAUAUCUAUCUCAAUGACACAGUGACAUCUUAAUUCCUUUCCUUAUGAGGAAACGGAGGCUCCGGGAAGCUAAAUGAUUUGCCCAAGUCUAGCGAGUGGUCAGUGAGGAUUCUAAUCACGUUUGCCUCCAAAGAUGGUGGUUUCAUAAAAAUGCAGGAGUGUAUCUGCACACCUGAGGCUCACCUCCCGAGCACAGUUCUGUAGUUCUCCACGGCUCAGUGAUGGACGGCCCUAGUGAACAUGACCCUAAGGAUGCAUUGUGAUCUAGAAACCCCUUCAUUUUCAAACUGGGUAACGUGUGCUGAAGGCCUCUCUGUCGCAAUGAGCUGCUCUCUCUGAGGAUUCCGAAGAGCUUCCCAGUGGAAUUUCUUCUGUCCCCUUAGAAGGCCUAACCACGUGGCUCUCCAUGACAAAUGUCCGGUACUAGCCAUGCGGUCAAGACCAUCAGCUGACGGAUGCUGUGCUGAAACCAACUUCCCUUGGGUGAGACUCGCCCUGAUGCAGGUUCUAAGAUUGAAGUGUGUGUGUGUGUGUGGCUUUUGGAGUCUCCUAUUUUACUGUCUCCCAAUAGAUGACUAUAAUUUGGAGGUUGGUUGAGUGACUUGAAAUAGUGACGCAGACAUUAGCCAAAGCUCUCCAGGGCUGCAACACGCAUCACCACAUUUGAGAAAGGUCUGUAGCCAGACACACCCACCUCUACACUCGUGUUUGCAACACUUUCAGUGAAUACUGAAUGAAUGUUAGCAGUGAUGUAAUGGACACUGACUAAGGACUUUAGGCGAACGAUCUCAUUUAAUCCUCACAGCAAUGUUUCACGGGCAGUGAGAUUCCGUAACAAGGCCAAGUUCAUGAAGCUGUCUGGAGACGAGACAGGAAGCUUUUUUGUUUUUGUUUUUUGGUUGCAGCCAGCAGGAGCCUUAGUUCCUGGUUAUUUUUUAAGAAAAUUAGUAAUAACCUAGACACAGGUUCCAGUCUGAACUCCUCUGCAUUUGUAACACCUCUGUUAGGAGAUGAAGGUAGCAUGGUCCCCUCCACUUCGGGGCUCAUUCUGUUGCUCUUUGAUUCAUUCAUUGAUCUCUGGAAUCUUAGGGAGUACACAGAACGAGGCCAAGUCUGUCCUCAGUAUUGAGGAUACAAAACACAAUAGUCCCUUGAGAGAGGCUGGGAAU